UCCGGCUUAUCACCGGCAGUUUCUUUAGAGUGCUCAACUAAAUGGUAGCAACUAAAGACGAGGGUUGCGCUCGUUGCGGGACUUAACCCAACAUCUCACGACACGAGCUGACGACAGCCAUGCAGCACCUGUGUGUAGGCCCCGUAAGGGGAGGAAUCCAUCUCUGGAAGCCGUCCUACCAUGUCAAACGCUGGUAAGGUUCUGCGCGUUGCUUCGAAUUAAUCCACAUAAUCCACCGCUUGUGCGGGUCCCCGUCAAUUUCUUUGAGUUUUAAUCUUGCGACCGUACUCCCCAGGCGGGGCGCUUAAGGCGUUAGCUGCGCCACUGAACAGCAAGCUGCCCAACGGCUAGCGCCCAUCGUUUACGGCGUGGACUAC
rnacentral:misc_RNA from 1 species